AACGAACGCUGGCGGCAUGCCUAACACAUGCAAGUCGAACGGGAUCCUAGCUUGCUAGGUGAGAGUGGCGGACGGGUGAGUAACACGUGGGAAUCUGCCUUUUGGUUCGGGAUAACCGCGGGAAACUGCGGCUAAUACCGAAUGCCCUCGAGAGAGGAAAGAUUUAUCGCCAGAAGAGGAGCCCGCGUCCGAUUAGGUAGUUGGUGGGGUAAAGGCCUACCAAGCCGACGAUCGGUAGCUGGUCUGAGAGGAUGAUCAGCCACACUGGGACUGAGAUACGGCCCAGACUCCUACGGGAGGCAGCAGUGGGAAUAUUGGACAAUGGGGGCAACCCCUGAUCCAGCAAUGCCGCGUGAGUGAUGAAGGCCUUAGGUUGUAAAGCUCUUUUGUCCAGGGAAGAUGAUGACUGUACCUGGAGAAUAAGCCCGGCUAACUUCGUGCCAGCAGCCGCGGUAAU
rnacentral:rRNA from 1 species